AUGAACGAUGUGAGGAAGCAAGAGAAGCAAAAGGGAAGAGGAGGCGGGGGUGGGAGUGGAGGAGGAAGGCUGGCGAGGAUGCUGCGGGAGCACAAGGCCAGGCUCUACAUCAUCCGGCGCUGCGUCGUCAUGCUGCUCUGCCACCAUGACUGA
rnacentral:rRNA from 1 species